GGCCCUACGGGGCGCAGCAGGCGGGAAACCUUUACAAUGCGCGCAAGCGCGAUAAGGGAAUCCAAAGUGCUAUGGCUUAGGCCAUGGCUUUUUUCAAGAGUAAAAAUCUUGAAGAAUAAGUGGUGGGAAAGACCGGUGCCAGCCGCCGCGGUAACACCGGCGCCACAAGUGGCAGCCGCAUUUAUUGGGCCUAAAGCGUCCGUAGCAGGUUUCGUAAGUUCUUUGUGAAAUCGUAAAGCUCAACUUUACGGCGUGCAAAGAAUACUGCGUUACUAGGGACUGGGAGAGGUAAGAGGAAUUUCGGGGCCAGCGGUGAAAUGUUUUGAUCCCCGAAGGACCACCAAUGGCGAAGGCAUCUUACCAGAACAGGUCCGACUGUGAGGGACGAAAGCUAGGGGAGCAAAACGGAUUAGAUACCCGAGUAGUCCUAGCUGUAAACACUGCGCGUUAGACAUUGUCAAUACCACGAGUUUUGGCAGAGUUGUAGGGAAGCCGUUAAGUUUGCCGCCUGGGAAGUACGUACGCAAGUAUGAAACUUAAAGGAAUUGGCGGGGGAGCAC
rnacentral:rRNA from 1 species